rnacentral:rRNA from 1 species
UACGUAGGUGGCAAGCGUUAUCCGGAAUUACUGGGCGUAAAGCGCACGCAGGCGGUCUUUUAAGUUUGACGUGAAAGCUCCCGGCUUAACUGGGAGAGGUCGUUGAAGACUGGGAGACUUGAGGCAAUGAGAGGGGUGUAGAAUUCCUGGUGUAGUGGUGGAAUGCGUAGAUAUCAGGAGGAAUACCCGUGGCGAAAGCGGCACCCUAGCGUUGUUCUGACGCUCAUGUGCGAAAGCGUGGGGAGCGAACGGG